rnacentral:rRNA from 1 species
UACGUAGGGGGCUAGCGUUGUCCGGAAUCAUUGGGCGUAAAGAGCGUGUAGGCGGCUCGGUAAGUCCGCUGUGAAAGUCCAGGGCUCAACCCUGGAAAGCCGGUGGAAACUGUCGAGCUAGAGUCCGGAAGAGGCGAGUGGAAUUCCUGGUGUAGCGGUGAAAUGCGCAGAUAUCAGGAGGAACACCAAUGGCGAAGGCAGCUCGCUGGGACGGUACUGACGCUGAGACGCGAAAGCGUGGGGAGCAAACAGG